UCCAUGAAGUAGCUCAAAUGUGGGGCUGAUCUAAUGAGAUUUUCCCAGGUCCCCAAAUAGAGAUUAGCAUAUGAGGGGGCACAGGAAGUCCCCAUAGCUGUCCCCCUAAUUUGCUGAUAGAUGGUACCAUUAAAGAUAAAGAUAUUUCUUGUAAGGACCAUUUUAAGUAUGUUGGAAACCAAAUCUGUGUAUGCGACUGGAGUGUGCAAUUCAUGUUCAAGGAUAGUUCUGAUAUUAUCAAUUCCUUGAAUAUGUGGUAUGGAACUAUACAACGACUCCACAUCCAGACUGCAUAGAAGUGCUUGUUCCGGUAUGGAGAUAUCCUUCAAGAAAUUAAGCAUCUGUUUCGUGUCCCUUAUGUAAGAGGGUAAUUUUGCAACCAUAGGGGACAAAAUCUUAUCCAAAAAGAUGCUCAGAUUUUGGGUUAGGUUCCCACAACCUGAAACAAUUGGUCUACCUGAC